AUGGUAGGAUAGAGGCCUACCAUGGUGGUAACGGGUAACGGGGUGUUAGGGCACGACACCGGAGAGGGAGCCUGAGAAACGGCUACCACAUCCAAGGAAGGCAGCAGGCGCGCAAAUUACCCAAUCCCGACACGGGGAGGUAGUGACAAUAAAUAACAAUACAGGGUUCUUUGAAUCUUGUAAUUGGAAUGAGUACAAUUUAAAUCUCUUAACGAGGAACAAUUGGAGGGCAAGUCUGGUGCCAGCAGCCGCGGUAAUUCCAGCUCCAAUAGCGUAUAUUAAAGUUGUUGCAGUUAAAAAGCUCGUAGUUGAAUUUCGGGAUCAAUACGUCGGUCGUGCUUUCGGGUACGUACUGGCGUCAUUGGUUUCUCCUUUCUGACGAACCAUGAUGUCAUUAAUUUGGUGUUAUGGGGAGUUAGGACUGUUACUUUGAAAAAAUUAGAGUGUUUAAAGCAGGCAUUAGCUUGAAUACAUUAGCAUGGAAUAAUGAAAUAGGACGUUCGAUCCUAUUUUGUUGGUUUCUAGGAUCAACGUAAUGAUUAAUAGGGAUAGUUGGGGGCAUUAGUACUCAAUUGUCAGAGGUGAAAUUCUUGGAUUUAUUGAAGACUAACUACUGCGAAAGCAUUUGCCAAGGAUGUUUUCAUUAAUCAAGAACGAAAGUUAGGGGAUCGAAGACGAUCAGAUACCGUCGUAGUCUUAACCAUAAACUAUGCCGACUAGGGAUCGGAUGAUGUUAAUUUUUUAAUGACUCAUUCGGCGCCUUACGGGAAACCAAAGUGUUUGGG
rnacentral:rRNA from 1 species